rnacentral:rRNA from 1 species
AGGCCAAUCAAACCGGGAGAUAGCUGGUUCUCCCCGAAAGCUAUUUAGGUAGCGCCUCGUGGAUUCAUCUUCGGGGGUAGAGCACUGUUUCGGCUAGGGGGCCAUCCCGGCUUACCAACCCGAUGCAAACUGCGAAUACCGAAGAAUGGUAUCACGGGAGACACACGGCGGGUGCUAACGUCCGUCGUGAAGAGGGAAACAACCCAGACCGCCAGCUAAGGUCCCAAAGUCAUGGUUAAGUGGGAAACGAGGUGGGAAGGCUCAGACAGCCAGGAUGUUGGCUUAGAAGCAGCCACCAUUUAAAGAAAGCGUAAUAGCUCACUGGUCGAGUCGGCCUGCGCGGAAGAUGUAACGGGGCUAAACCAUGCACCGAAGCUGCGGCAGCGACACGCAGGUGUUGUUGGGUAGGGGAGCGUUCUGUAAGCCGUUGAAGGNGGCGCUGNGAGGCCCGCUGGAGGUAUCAGAAGUGCGAAUGCUGACAUAAGUAACGAUAAAGCGGGUGAAAAACCCGCUCGCCGGAAGACCNAGGGUUCCUGUCCAACGUUAAUCGGGGCAGGGUGAGUCGACCCCUAAGGCGAGGCUGAAAAGCGUAGUCGAUGGGCAACAGGUUAAUAGUCCUGUACUGAAGGUGACUGCGACGGGGGGACGGAGAAGGCUAGGCCAUCCGGGCGACGGUCGUCCCGGUUUAAGCGUGUAGGUUGAAAGAGCCUUCAAAUCCGCUCUUUCGUGAACACUGAGGCGUGAUGACGAGCCGCUACGGCGGUGAAGUGGUUGAUGCCCGGCUUCCAGGAAAAGCCUCUAAGCAUCAGGUCACCUUGAAUCGUACCCCAAACCGACACAGGUGGUCAGGUAGAGAAUACUCAGGCGCUUGAGAGAACUCGGGUGAAGGAACUAGGCAAAAUGGUGCCGUAACUUCGGGAGAAGGCACGCUGGCGGUAGGUGAAGGGCCCGCGCCCGGAGCCGAAGCCAGUCGCAGAGACCAGCUGGCUGCAACUGUUUAUUAAAAACACAGCACUGUGCAAACACGAAAGUGGACGUAUACGGUGUGACGCCUGCCCGGUGCUGGAAGGUUAAUUGAUGGGGUUAGCACGUGAGUGCGACGCUCUUGAUCGAAGCCCCAGUAAACGGCGGCCGUAACUAUAACGGUCCUAAGGUAGCGAAAUUCCUUGUCGGGUAAGUUCCGACCUGCACGAAUGGCGUAAUGAUGGCCAGGCUGUCUCCACCCGAGACUCAGUGAAAUUGAACUCGCUGUGAAGAUGCAGUGUACCCGCGGCAAGACGGAAAGACCCCGUGAACCUUUACUAUAGCUUGACACUGAACAUGGCACCUUGAUGUGUAGGAUAGGUGGGAGGCCUUGAAGUGUGGACGCCAGUCUGCACGGAGCCAUCCUUGAAAUACCACCCUUGAAUGUGCGAUGUUCUCACCCAGGUGCGUUAUCCGGACCGGGGACAGUGUCUGGUGGGUAGUUUGACUGGGGCGGUCUCCUCCCAAAGCGUAACGGAGGAGCACGAAGGUUGGCUAAUCACGGUCGGACAUCGUGAGGUUAGUGCAAAGGCAUAAGCCAGCUUGACUGCGAGAGUGACAGCUCGAGCAGGUACGAAAGUAGGUCUUAGUGAUCCGGUGGUUCUGUAUGGAAGGGCCAUCGCUCAACGGAUAAAAGGUACUCCGGGGAUAACAGGCUGAUACCGCCCAAGAGUUCAUAUCGACGGCGGUGUUUGGCACCUCGAUGUCGGCUCAUCACAUCCUGGGGCUGAAGUCGGUCCCAAGGGUAUGGCUGUUCGCCAUUUAAAGUGGUACGCGAGCUGGGUUUAGAACGUCGUGAGACAGUUCGGUCCCUAUCUGCCGUGGGCGUUGGAAGAUUGAAAGGGGCUGCUCCUAGUACGAGAGGACCGGAGUGGACGCACCGCUGGUGUACGGGUUGUCAUGCCAAUGGCAUAGCCCGGUAGCUAAGUGCGGAAGAGAUAAGCGCUGAAAGCAUCUAAGCGGGAAACUUGCCUUGAGAUGAGUCUUCCCUUGACUGUGAGGUCACGGAAGGAACGUUUAAGACGAAGACGUGG